rnacentral:misc_RNA from 1 species
GAUGAAGAACGCAGCGAAAUGCGAUAAGUAAUGUGAAUUGCAGAAUUCAGUGAAUCAUCGAAUCUUUGAACGCACAUUGCGCCCUCUGGUAUUCCGGGGGGCAUGCCUGUUCGAGCGUCAUUAUAACCACUCAAGCUCUCGCUUGGUAUUGGGGUUCGCGGUUCCGCGGCCCCUAAAAUCAGUGGCGGUGCCUGUCGGCUCUACGCGUAGUAAUACUCCUCGCGAUUAAGUCCGGUAGGUCUACUUGCCAGCAACCCCCAAUUUUUACAGGUUGACCUCGGAUCAGGUAGGGAUACCCGCUGAACUUAAGCAUAUCAAUAAGCGGAGGA